UUUUUAUUCAGCAAGGUAUCCUUCUUGUCAAAAUGCAUUUACAUAGAGCCCUGCAGCCUAUGCACUAAUAGCACCUCCCCCUGCUUCUGCCUCCUAGUGGGCUGUCUGAAGGAGGCUAUACAUAUGUAUUAAGUUAUUAAGCAGUGGUAUGGGUUCUCACAAGUUCAAACGCAGAGCAUGCUGUGCUUAUGCUCAAACGUCUCCAGGAGGGCCUGGAUUAAUAGAAAUGCAAAUGGAGCAUCUGCACAAGGCCAUAUGAUUAGAGCCUUCCCCCUCACACCUCAAAGUCAAAAGCAGAAAAACACUGCAUGUGAAAUACAACCAAAAAAAAAACCCAAAAAACCUGGUGAUAUAAUAUGCAAAGUCUGUUACCAAUUUCAACAGCAGUCAGCAAAACAUUGAGCCUCACCCCGCUUUAAGCACCGUUGCCCCUACCUUCUCAAAGGGAGGCUUAUCAGUGGACGAGGUACCCAAGAUGUGGAGAUGCAUUAAAAGGAAAAUAAUUCAGGUGAAGAACACCUGCUUGGCUGAGAACACCAUUAGAAGUUCCUUUUGUAUCCUUCAGCGCACUUCUACAGUGUUCCUGUCUUCACAAGGCUCUAAUUGGGGGAGAAAAACAAGUAAAGCGCAAAAAAAGGAAAGCCAGGAUCUUUUUCCCAGCUCACCCAUUCUAAACAGUUGCUGGUUUCCUGUGACCUUUUGGACCUACACUUCAGUUUCUUGUACACUACAAUUGAGCUUCCCUCUCCUUGCCUUGUUAUGAGCCAGCACAUGAUGGAUGAGCCCUCAGCAUGCCUCGAGGUGCAGCAGGAGCAGUGGAGGAAGUAAAGACAGCAGAUCUACUUCAGCAAAUUAGCAGCAACAGCAGGCUCUGUUGUGGCAGUUCUGUUGAAUGCCAUCAUUUUAACUGUUCACUAUGGAAUAGUUCCUAAAUGGCAUUUAUAUUUAAGUCAGUUUAUUAUAUUAUUCCAGCCAUGCAAAGCUGUACUACAAAUUUACCAGCUCAGGCACAAAAUCUAUUCACCCGCCCUUUUCCAAGUUGAUGAUAAUGGACCCCCCUCCUCCCCUUUCUUUCUUUCUUCCCUCAAAUGAUUAUAUUUUGCUUGCCCAUCAAAACAAAUCACUCAUCUUGGGUGAAUAAAAUUUUGCAAGGCUGCA
rnacentral:lncRNA from 1 species